UACGUAGGGGGCAAGCGUUGUCCGGAAUCAUUGGGCGUAAAGAGCGCGUAGGCGGUCCGGUAAGUCCGCUCUGAAAGUCCGGGGCUCAACCCCGGGAGGCGGGCGGAUACUGUCGGGCUAGAGUCCGGAAGAGGCGAGUGGAAUUCCUGGUGUAGCGGUGAAAUGCGCAGAUAUCAGGAGGAACACCAAUGGCGAAGGCGACUUCCUGGCCUGUUCUUGACGCUGAGGCGCGAAAGCUAGGGGAGCAAACGGG
rnacentral:rRNA from 1 species